GCCUGGGUGGCUCAUUUGGUUAAGUGUCUGACUUCAGCUCAGGUCAUGAUCUUGCAGUCCAGUCUGUGGGUUCAAGCCCCGCUUCGGGCU
rnacentral:tRNA from 1 species